rnacentral:rRNA from 1 species
UGAGGAAUAUUGCGCAAUGGGAGGCAACUCUGACGCAGCCAUGCCGCGUGCAGGAAGAAGGCGCUACGCGUUGUAAACUGCUUUUAUCCGGGAAGAAACCCCAGGACGUGUCCUGGGUUGACGGUACCGGAGGAAUAAGCACCGGCUAACUUCGUGCCAGCAGCCGCGGUAAUACGAAGGGUGCAAGCGUUAUCCGGAUUCAUUGGGUUUAAAGGGUGCGUAGGCGGGACAGCAAGUCAGCGGUGAAAUCCCGUGGCUUAACCACGGAAUUGCCGUUGAUACUGCUGUUCUUGAGUACGCUUGACGUGGGCGGAAUGUGCCGUGUAGCGGUGAAAUGCUUAGAUAUGGCACAGAACACCGAUAGUGAAGACAGCUCACGAAGCGAAACUGACGCUGAGGCACGAAAGCGUGGGGAUCAAACAGGAUUAGAAACCCCGGUAG